UUCAGUCUUUUUAACAAUGUAAUGUUAGAGGCAGCUUGUGUUGUAGCCUUUUUAGCUCACCUGGCCCAAAGGGCCAAGUGAGCUUUUCUCAUCACUUGGCGUCCGUCGUCGGCGUUAACUUUUUACAUUUUGAACUUCUUCUAGAGAACCACUGAAUGGAAUGAAACCAAACAUGGCAUGAAUGUUCCUUAUGAUGUGCUGACCAAGUGUUGUUACUUUGUAGCGGAUCCAUAAUCCAAGAUGGCCGCCAGCGGGGGACUUAGUUUAACAUAGGACCCUAUGGGAAAUACAUGCAAAUGUCUUCUUUAAGAGAACCACUGAAUGGAAUGAAACCAAACAUGGCAUGAAUGUUUCUUAUGAGGUGCUGACCAAGUGUUGUUACUUUGAAGCUGAUCCAUAAUCCAAGAUGGCCGCCAGUGGGGGACUUAGUUUAACAUGGGACCCUAUGGGAAAUACAUACAAAUGUCUUCUUUUAGAGAACCACUGAAUGGAAUGAAACCAAACAUGGCAUGAAUGUUCCUUAUGAGGUGCUGACCAAGUGUUGUUACUAUAAAGCUGAUCCAUAAUCCAAGAUGGCCGCCAGCAGGGGACUUAGUUUAACUUUGGACCCUAUGGGAAAUACAUACAAAUGUCUUCUUUUAGAGAACCACUGAAUGGAAUGAAACCAAACAUGGCAUGAAUGUUUCUUAUGAGGUGCUGACCGAGCGUUGUUACUUUGAAGCCGAUCCAUAAUCCAAGAUGGCCGCCUGCAGGGGACUUAGUUUAACAUGGGACCCUAUGAGAAAUACAUACAAAUGUCUUCUUUUAGAGAACCACUGAAUGGAAUGAAACCAAACAUGGCAUGAAUGUUCCUUAUGAGGUGCUGACCAAGUGUUGUUACUAUGAAGCUGAUCCAUAAUCCAAGAUGGCCGCCAGCAGGGGACUUAGUUUAACAUUGGACCCUAUGGGAAAUACAUACAAAUGUCUUCUUUUAGAGAACCACUGAAUGGAAUGAAACCAAACAUGGCAUGAAUGUUUCUUAUGAGGUGCUGACCGAGUGUUGUUACUUUAAAGCCGAUCCAUAAUCCAAGAUGGCCGCCUGCAGGGGACUUAGUUUAACAUGGGACCCUAUGAGAAAUACAUACAAAUGUCUUCUUUUAGAGAACCACUGAAUGGAAUGAAACCAAACAUGGCAUGAAUGUUCCUUAUGAGGUGCUGACCAAGUGUUGUUACUUUGAAGCCGAUCCAUAAUCCAAGAUGGCUGCCAGCGGGGGACUUAGUUUAACAUGGGACCCUAUGGGAAAUACAUACAAACGUCUUCUUUUAGAGAACCACUGAAUGGAAUGAAACCAAACAUGGCAUGAAUGUUUCUAAUGAGGUGCUGACCGAGUGUUGUUACUUUGUAGCGGAUCCAUCAUCCAAGAUGGCCGCCAGCGGGGGACUUAGUUUAACAUAGGACCCUAUGGGAAAUACAUACAAAUGUCUUCUUUUAGAGAACCACUGAAUGCAAUGAAACCAAACAUGGCAAGAAUGUUCCUUAUGAGGUGCUGACCAAGUGUUGUUACUAUGAAGCUGAUCCAUAAUCUAAGAUGGCCGCCAGCGGAGGACUUAGUUUAACAUAGGACCCUAUGAGAAAUACGUACAAAUGUUUUCUUUUAGAGAACCAUUGAAUGGAAUAAAAGCAAACAUGGCAUGAAUGUUCCUUAUGAGGUGCUGACCAAGUGUUGUUACUAUGAAGCUGAUCCAUAAUCCAAGAUGGCCGCCAGCAGGGGACUUAGUUUAACAUUGGACCCUAUGGGAAAUACAUACAAAUGUCUUCUUUUAGAGAACCACUGAAUGGAAUGAAACCAAACAUGGCAUGAAUGUUUCUUAUGAGGUGCUGACCGAGUGUUGUUACUUUAAAGCCGAUCCAUAAUCCAAGAUGGCCGCCUGCAGGGGACUUAGUUUAACAUGGGACCCUAUGAGAAAUACAUACAAAUGUCUUCUUUUAGAGAACCACUGAAUGGAAUGAAACCAAACAUGGCAUGAAUGUUCCUUAUGAGGUGCUGACCAAGUGUUGUUACUUUGAAGCCGAUCCAUAAUCCAAGAUGGCUGCCAGCGGGGGACUUAGUUUAACAUGGGACCCUAUGGGAAAUACAUACAAACGUCUUCUUUUAGAGAACCACUGAAUGGAAUGAAACCAAACAUGGCAUGAAUGUUUCUAAUGAGGUGCUGACCGAGUGUUGUUACUUUGUAGCGGAUCCAUCAUCCAAGAUGGCCGCCAGCGGGGGACUUAGUUUAACAUAGGACCCUAUGGGAAAUACAUACAAAUGUCUUCUUUUAGAGAACCACUGAAUGCAAUGAAACCAAACAUGGCAAGAAUGUUCCUUAUGAGGUGCUGACCAAGUGUUGUUACUAUGAAGCUGAUCCAUAAUCUAAGAUGGCCGCCAGCGGAGGACUUAGUUUAACAUAGGACCCUAUGAGAAAUACGUACAAAUGUUUUCUUUUAGAGAACCAUUGAAUGGAAUGAAACCAAACAUGGCAUGCAUGUUCCUUUUGAGGUGCUGACCAAGUGUUGUUACUUUGAAGCUGAUCCUUCAUCCAUGAUGGCUGCCAGAUGGGGACAAUGUUUAACAAAGGAUCCUAUGGACAAUACAUACAAAUGUCUUCUUUUAGAGAACCACAUACUGAAUGGAUUGAAACCAAACAUGGCAUGAAUGUUCCUUAUGAGGUGCUGAUUAAGUUUUGUUACUUUGAAGCUGGUCCUUCAUCCAUGAUGGCCGCCAAUGGGGGGGACUUCCUUUAACAUAAGAACCUAUGGGAAAUACAUACAAAUGCUUCUUCUAGAGGUGCACUGAAUGGAAUGAAACCAAAACAUGGCAUAAAUGUUUCUUAUGAGGUGCUGAUUAAGUGUUGCUACUUUGUUGCCGAUUUACUGUUCAAGAUGGCCACCAGGAUUUUUUAUUAAAUUACAGGACCAAUAUUAAACCAAAUUUGGCCUCACUCAUUAUUAGGGUAUCUGUUAUGAUAAUCUAUUUUUACAUGAUUUCCAAAACCAAAGUAGAAUCAGGUGAGCGACACAGGCUCUUGAGAGCCUCUAGUUUACA